rnacentral:rRNA from 1 species
GCAGUCGAAGGCAGCAUGAUCUAGCUUGCUAGAUUGAUGGCGAGUGGCGAACGGGUGAGUAAUACAUCGGAACGUGCCCUGUAGUGGGGGAUAACUAGUCGAAAGAUUAGCUAAUACCGCAUACGACCUGAGGGUGAAAGUGGGGGACCGCAAGGCCUCAUGCUAUAGGAGCGGCCGAUGUCUGAUUAGCUAGUUGGUGAGGUAAAGGCUCGCCAAGGCGACGAUCAGUAGCUGGUCUGAGAGGACGAUCAGCCACACUGGGACUGAGACACGGCCCAGACUCCUACGGGAGGCAGCAGUGGGGAAUUUUGGACAAUGGGGGCAACCCUGAUCCAGCAAUGCCGCGUGUGUGAAGAAGGCCUUCGGGUUGUAAAGCACUUUUGUCCGGAAAGAAAUCGCACUUACUAAUAUUAGGUGUGGAUGACGGUACCGGAAGAAUAAGGACCGGCUAACUACGUGCCAGCAGCCGCGGUAAUACGUAGGGUCCAAGCGUUAAUCGGAAUUACUGGGCGUAAAGCGUGCGCAGGCGGUUGUGCAAGACCGAUGUGAAAUCCCCGGGCUUAACCUGGGAAUUGCAUUGGUGACUGCACGGCUAGAGUGUGUCAGAGGGGGGUAGAAUUCCACGUGUAGCAGUGAAAUGCGUAGAGAUGUGGAGGAAUACCGAUGGCGAAGGCAGCCCCCUGGGAUAACACUGAUGCUCAUGCACGAAAGCGUGGGGAGCAAACAGGAUUAGAUACCCUGGUAGUCCACGCCCUAAACGAUGUCAACUAGUUGUUGGGGAUUCAUUUCCUUAGUAACGUAGCUAACGCGUGAAGUUGACCGCCUGGGGAGUACGGUCGCAAGAUUAAAACUCAAAGGAAUUGACGGGGACCCGCACAAGCGGUGGAUGAUGUGGAUUAAUUCGAUGCAACGCGAAAAACCUUACCUACCCUUGACAUGCCACUAACGAAGCAGAGAUGCAUUAGGUGCUCGAAAGAGAAAGUGGACACAGGUGCUGCAUGGCUGUCGUCAGCUCGUGUCGUGAGAUGUUGGGUUAAGUCCCGCAACGAGCGCAACCCUUGUCUCUAGUUGCUACGAAAGGGCACUCUAGAGAGACUGCCGGUGACAAACCGGAGGAAGGUGGGGAUGACGUCAAGUCCUCAUGGCCCUUAUGGGUAGGGCUUCACACGUCAUACAAUGGUGCAUACAGAGGGUUGCCAAGCCGCGAGGUGGAGCUAAUCCCAGAAAAUGCAUCGUAGUCCGGAUCGUAGUCUGCAACUCGACUACGGAAGCUGGAAUCGCUA